AAAACUUUAGCUUAAGAAAAAUAACACCUUUGCAAGGUGUAGAUAAGACCACUUAAGUUUUA
rnacentral:tRNA from 1 species